UACGGAGGGUGCAAGCGUUGUUCGGAUUCACUGGGUAUAAAGGGUGCGCAGGCGGCCUGGUAAGUCAGAGGUGAAAUAUGACGGCUAAACCGUCAAACUGCCUCUGAAACUGUCAGGCUUGAGUCCGGGAGAGGAAGGUGGAAUUCCAGGUGUAGCGGUGAAAUGCGUAAAUAUCUGGAGGAACACCGGUGGCGAAGGCGGCCUUCUGGCCCGGAACUGACGCUCAGGCACGAAAGCUAGGGGAGCGAACGGGAUUAGAUACCCUCGUA
rnacentral:rRNA from 1 species